rnacentral:piRNA from 1 species
UCACUGUGUUGUCCCGGGUUGUCUGA